rnacentral:rRNA from 1 species
CCUACGGGGGGCUGCAGUGGGGAAUAUUGGACAAUGGGCGAAAGCCUGAUCCAGCCAUGCCGCGUGUGUGAAGAAGGCCUUCGGGUUGUAAAGCACUUUCAGUGGGGAAGAAAGCCUUGGGGCUAAUACCCUCGAGGAAGGACAUCACCCACAGAAGAAGCACCGGCUAACUCCGUGCCAGCAGCCGCGGUAAUACGGAGGGUGCGAGCGUUAAUCGGAAUUACUGGGCGUAAAGCGCGCGUAGGCGGUCUGAUAAGCCGGUUGUGAAAGCCCCGGGCUCAACCUGGGAACGGCAUCCGGACCUGUCAGGCUAGAGUGCAGGAGAGGAAGGUAGAAUUCCCGGUGUAGCGGUGAAAUGCGUAGAGAUCGGGAGGAAUACCAGUGGCGAAGGCGGCCUUCUGGACUGACACUGACGCUGAGGUGCGAAAGCGUGGGUAGCAAACAGGAUUAGAUACCCUUGUAGUC